GUGUGAAAAUUCAGUCGGUAGAACAUGAGACUCUUAAUCUCAGGGUUGUGGGUUUGAGCCUUACAUUAGGCA